rnacentral:lncRNA from 1 species
GUUUGUGCUGGGAGCUGGUGGCGCGGUGCAGGGCUCUUAAGAACGAACGGCUUGGGCGCGGACUGGUAUCCGGGGACUGUGACUUGCAGGGUCCGCCAUGGAGCCAGAGCAGAUGCUGGAGGGACAAACGCAGGUUGCAGAAAAUCCUCACUCUGAGUACGGUCUCACAGACAACGUUGAGAAUAGUAGAAAAUGAGAAGAUUAAUGCAGAAAAGUCAUCAAAGCAGAAGGUAGAUCUCCAGUCUUUGCCAACUCGUGCCUACCUGGAUCAGACAGUUGUGCCUAUCUUAUUACAGGGACUUGCUGUGCUUGCAAAGGAAAGACCACCAAAUCCCAUUGAAUUUCUAGCAUCUUAUCUUUUAAAAAACAAGGCACAGUUUGAAGAUCGAAACUGACUUAAUGGGAAGAACAGAAAAAUUUAGUUGCUACUGUAGAUUUACAUGAUUAAGAGGCAGCUUUAAUUGCCAUGAUCAUUCCCUCUUUUUGGAUGUAUAAGAACCUUCCGGACAACAGAACCUAUUUCUGGAAUUGCAGAAGAUAACAUAUUUCCCUUAUUUUGAUUUAAUCACCAUAAACCAUACCUAUUUAAUGAGUGUAUUCUGUGCAAUUUUUUUCUCAGAUUGUCUUUAACUUUGUUUUUAAAAUGACCUUCAAAAUAAACUGUCAAA